UACGAAGGGGGCUAGCGUUGCUCGGAAUGACUGGGCGUAAAGGGCGCGUAGGCGGAUUGUACAGUCAGGCGUGAAAUUCCCGGGCUCAACCUGGGGGCUGCGCUUGAGACGUGCGAUCUUGAGUGGGGAAGAGGGUCGUGGAAUUCCCAGUGUAGAGGUGAAAUUCGUAGAUAUUGGGAAGAACACCGGUGGCGAAGGCGGCUCACUGGCUCGUAUCUGACGCUCAGGCGCGACAGCGUGGGGAUCAAACAGG
rnacentral:rRNA from 1 species